UACGAAGGGGGCUAGCGUUGCUCGGAAUCACUGGGCGUAAAGCGCACGUAGGCGGCUUUCUAAGUCAGGGGUGAAAUCCUGGAGCUCAACUCCAGAACUGCCUUUGAUACUGGAGAGCUUGAGUCCGGAAGAGGUGAGUGGAACUCCGAGUGUAGAGGUGAAAUUCGUAGAUAUUCGGAAGAACACCAGUGGCGAAGGCGGCUCACUGGUCCGGUACUGACGCUGAUGUGCGAAAGCUAGGGUAGCAAACGGG
rnacentral:rRNA from 1 species